GCAGGAUUGCUGAGCUGCCCAGGUGCGGUACCAGUGGCCCCAGGGACCCGUGUCUUCCCGGACCCCACAGCCAACCACACUCCGGGCCAGGCAGUGUGGCACACAUUAGAGUCGGAUGGCAAGACUCUGGCCCUACCCCUGCACACGUGGAAGGGGGCAGAUUCACAGAAGAUGUAAAUUUCGACAAGGAUUAUAGGAUUAUUUGGUUUUUUGCAAAGGCCCUUCUAUUAGCAGCCCCUGAGAGAGCCCCUCUUGCCCGUCCCCAGCCCCACCUCCCGGCUGCUGGCGGGGCCGGGGUGAGGAGGAUGCUUUCCUAAGGCGGAUCCGGAGGUGCAAUCAUCCCGGGGCCUUGGGAACCAGCACACCUUGUAAAUUCAAAAGUCAACAAGAUGUGGAAGCAGAGGAGACCCUCGGCUGGUCACCGAGGACACGGGAGGCAAGACCAUCGCUUCCUGUGACCCAUCUCGGCUGUGGGACCUGCUUAUUGCUAUUUACAUCCAUGACACCAUCUUCGCCGGAAAAGGAUGCCGUGCUCUUACCAGCCUGGAAGGUUGAUGCAAUGGGCCCAUCAGGACACCUCAGCAGAUGUGUGACUUCAGUCAACUCAUUUGUGAAAUGAAGUUUAUAAUAUGCACCUCCUCCGACCUGUCCCCUCAGCUUCUGAUGAAAGUCAAAUGAGAUACUGAUUGUGAUGGUGCUUUGUUAGCUGGAUGUGUUUACAUGUGAGAGAAUAGGUAUUAAAAUAAUAACUAUUGUUUUUAUUAUUA